GUUUUUUUUGUAUUUUUUUU
rnacentral:sRNA from 1 species